CAAAACGUACCGCUUUGAUCGGCUCCGUUCACCGCACGUCGGAAAUCAAUGUCGUUUCGGUCCUUACAGUGGAAGGAAGGCCGAGUUCUAGGGCUUUCUCCCAUCAGCUUCCUCAUACUCUCUGUAUGUUCAAGUAUGGCUUGCAUUUGGCUGCAUAGGACAAUGGUGAAUGAUUAUGGCUGUAAAAGAAGAACUCACAGUUGAAAUUCGUGACAUAUGAAGUUGAGAAAGCUGUAAUCACAGAUCAUCUCAUCGACAACAUUGCGGCCCCCCAUUCACAAGCCAAACGAGAUUCUCAUUGUUGCCAGGUGGAAUCUUGUUAACAAACACAAUUAUUUUCACUUUGCCUGUCAAUAUGCCACUGAUCAAUAGCUUGAAAUUAUAUUUCCAUGGCCAAUCAUUGAUAUCCUCCUUGCCACUUCUUUAUGCCUCCUAAAAUAUAAGCAAUAUCCUAUUGGAUUCAUGACGAUGUUUCUUCAGUAAACUGAUGUCAUUUUCUUGUUUUUGAAA